UUACAGCCAUAUCACAUUGAAACACUGGUUCCCAUACAGUCACUAAAGUUAAGCGAUGUCGAGCUUGGUCAGUACCAGGAUAAGUGACCGCUGGAGAAUACCAGGUGCUGUAA